UACGUAGGGUGCGAGCGUUGUCCGGAAUUAUUGGGCGUAAAGAGCUCGUAGGCGGUCUGUUGCGUCGGCUGUGAAAACCCGGGGCUCAACCCCGGGCCUGCAGCCGAUACGGGCAGACUAGAGUUCGGCAGGGGAGACUGGAAUUCCUGGUGUAGCGGUGAAAUGCGCAGAUAUCAGGAGGAACACCGGUGGCGAAGGCAGGUCUCUGGGCCGAUACUGACGCUGAGGAGCGAAAGCGUGGGGAGCGAACAGG
rnacentral:rRNA from 1 species